AAGAGUAUGGCAUAUUAAAGCAGUUUUUAAUGCAUCAAUACAGUGACACCACAGCAGAGUAUUUUGUUUGGAUCUGAAGAAAAGAUACAAGAUGAUGAAUUAAGGUUGGUCUACUUCAGGGGACCACUAACUGAUGAGAAAGAAAGAUGGCCAGUCUACUACAAGAGUGGACACAGCGAGAGUGAGAAAUAGAAACCUAAAAGAAGAGACACCACAGUUUUUCAGUCGCUGUUACAGUAUAUCACUUGCCUAAUGGCACCUCUCUCACUGUUUACAAAAUAACAUCCUGCUUUACUUUGGUGGGCCAGUACUGUAUGAAGAAUCAAAGUGAUGGCAUCCUCUUUGGAUAUACUGAAGUGAUAUGUGAACUGUAAUGGAUCCAGAAGAGCAUAUGUGAUCUAUGACUAACCUCUUGAAACACUUCAUUGCUAUAGGCAUUUGUAUGAAAGGCAGGCAAGCAAAGCUAAAACUUGGGAAAUAUCUGGCUUUUCCAUAUAUAUAGUCUUAAUUUAGUUAUUGAUUUUAAUCUUGCCCACAUGCAAUACUCAGGCAUGUUAUCCGUAAACAGUCUGCAUAUUUGUUUCUUGUUGUUCCAACUAUAUUUUGCUGAUGCUUCUAGUCAGUGAUCUUUUUAUAGUUACAAUGUAUCUAUUGUCAAAAUGGUGAUUUUAUUUCUGGUAGCUGACAAAGGUGUCUGUUGUUAUUCAUUUUGUGAACUUUUGAUUUUAUACGGUUUAUACUACCCAUCCUGCAUUUUUCCUGUUCCAAAGAAGGCAUGAUUUGUGGCACCCUCAUCUAACUUGUCUUCCAUUCUUUCAGUCCAGCAGCAGGUUACUCUUCAGAGUAAGAUGUAUCAUCCCAGUCUUUUGCUACAACCACAUUCCAAGUUACUGGUUCCUGCUAUAUGGAGCAGAGUUACGAUCUCGCCAUGAGCAUUAAGUACGUAAAGAUUCCACUGAUCUUGAAAUGGUGCUUGAAAUGGUUUUUAAAGAAAGGAGUACAUGUUUUGCCAUUGGUUUUUUGGGUGCACAUAAUUCCAACCUUUUGGUUAACAAUUGGUGCAAAGUUUUAUUCAUCAAAGUUGCAUAUCUUUGAAUUGUGUAUAAGUGUUUACAUGGUGUAUUGAGGAGACACUUCUGACAUGUUACUUUGAGAUUGAUCAGUUUAUCAGAUAAGGCCCAGAGGCCGCAUACCAAAGUGUCCUUUGAGGGGAACUGACAUCUGAGUUGGAAUUAAGUGUCUGGUAGCCUGCUUUUUUUUAGCAAAGUCUUGUGUGCCAAAGCAUAGUAAAAUGGGCAAUGCCAUGCUGUCCAACAAAAUGAACUACAGAAAAUGCAGCAACCCAAAUCAUUGUACAGUUCAAAGUAUUUAUGGCAACUUUGUUUUGCCAAAGCUUUACUUUGUUCUAAAAUUUAAAUUUAUGUCUUUGUAAUCUUUCUGUUCAUCUACUAUCAUAUUACUUGCAUUGUCACAAUUGAAAUAAAACUUCUUU